rnacentral:rRNA from 1 species
ACUAGUGAUUAGGCAGCAGUGGGGAAUUUUCCGCAAUGGGCGAAAGCCUGACGGAGCAAUGCCGCGUGGAGGUGGAAGGCCUACGGGUCGUCAACUUCUUUUCUCGGAGAAGAAACAAUGACGGUAUCUGAGGAAUAAGCAUCGGCUAACUCUGUGCCAGCAGCCGCGGUAAUAAUCGAAUU